GACGAACGCUGGCGGCGUGCUUAACACAUGCAAGUCGAACGGAAAGGCGCUGCUCUUGCUGGGUGCUCGUGUGGCGCACGGGUGUGUAACACGUGAGUAUCCUGCCCUUGACUUUGUGAUAACUCCAGGAAACUGGGGAUAAUACCGGAGAGGAGCUGCUGAUGCAUGGGGGGGGAUGGAAAGUUUCGGCGGUUGGGGAUGGACUGUCGGCUUAUCAGCUUGUUGGUGGGGUAGUGGCUUACCAAGGCUUUGACGGAUAGCCGGCCUGAGAGGGUGGCCAGCGCCCAUGCGCCUGCGGGAGGGCGCAGUCGCGAACGUGGGGCAACGGGGGGAAACCUUGCACAGUGAGGGCGCGUGUGAGAAAGCGGCGCCGGGUUCGGAAUACCGUCCUUUGGGGGAAGAACCGCUUUCGCCUGAGACGAAGCGGGAGUGACGGUAACGGGUAAAGAAGCACCGGCUAACUACGUG
rnacentral:rRNA from 1 species